rnacentral:rRNA from 1 species
UACGUAGGGUGCGAGCGUUAAUCGGAAUUACUGGGCGUAAAGCGUGCGCAGGCGGUGCUGUAAGUCCGAUGUGAAAUCCCCGGGCUUAACCUGGGAACUGCAUUGGUGACUGCAGCGCUGGAGUAUGGCAGAGGGGGGUGGAAUUCCACGUGUAGCAGUGAAAUGCGUAGAGAUGUGGAGGGACACCGAUGGCGAAGGCAGCCCCCUGGGCCAAUACUGACACUCAUGCACGAAAGCGUGGGGAGCAAACAGG